AACACCCCCAUGGGACUGCUUUGUCAACAAAUGGAGCAGCAAGCCAUCCAUCUACCUUUCUGAACAACUGAAUUGUUGCAUGCUAUCCCAUAGAGGUACAGAUGGUAACAGAUAGGCCACAGAAGCUUUAGCAGUUACGAUAACUUACAAUCAAGUGUCUCUGGAAUCAACUUCCUUCUCAUAAGAAUGUAAAUUGGACCUUUUCCAGGUAAAAUCCCUACGGAUGCUAUACUUCAGGAAUCUGGUGACCUGAUAUGCACAGGAUAUUAUCAUAAAAGAUGGCAAAUAGUUUUAAAACCCCACAUUAUUAAAAUUAUGAAGGCUGCAUCCUACCUUUGUGAAAAAGAAGUAGAUUUUGUGAGCUGAUCUACUCUGAGCUCUGUGCUGAUUCUGUUGGGCCAUGAGCAGACAUGGGUGUCCACCGCAUGAAGCCCAAGGCUCCCCUGAUAUGUCAUUUGGAGGAAUUCAGAGGAAGGUAAUGAGGAAGAUGGUACUCACAAUUUCCAUAAGGAAAUAAUGCUCUGAAAUGAAAGAUGUGGGUCAAUUUGCUUUUGUAUGAUAACCCUAAGACAAUAAAUAAAAAGAGCUGCAAGUAUGAAAAGCAUAACUUUCCAUAUGCAGUGUUGAAAGAAGUGAUAGACUUGAUUAAUACCAAGGGAAACAUAAAUGUA